UCAGCGUGCUUAUACAUUGAUAAAGAUAAUAAAAGUGAUGUAUACGGAAAAUGCAGUGGUAGCCACAGCACCUGGAAGCAGGAGCCUCAUGGGCAGUGUUCAGGAAGUGCUGGCUGGUAACUUGGACCGGACAGUUUAAGGAGAAUCCAUGGCAUCUGGCCUGCAACUGCAGGGGCCCAGCGCCCUGCCAGGGCUGCCCAUCUACAUCACCGGGAGUGCCCCCCUCUCACAGCUGUGCGGCCUUGACAUCAGUGCCUUGAGUUGCGAAUCUAGCCAAACAGGGAUGGGUAGUCAGAUCUGUUUCUUAGCUUAGUUCUGGGGCAAACUGACUGAAGGGCAAGGUGAAGGGAAUGGAGGACACAGCUUAACACAAUUGACUGCCUGCAGCCGGUCACUUUCAGCCUGAGGAGCGAGGAAGCGCUGAACCCUCCUGGCUCCCUUCAGAUCCACUCAGGGUUGUUGCUCAUGUGCGCCCUCCCUAGGCCUGGCUUUCCUCCCAUGCAGUGUUUGGGGAGCACUUUCCUCAGAGGAGAAUAUUUGCAUAGGUUCUUUCUCUUACUAAAUAUCCCAGUCAACUUUCAAGUUAGAAACACAUUGCCCUUAACCCAUUUGACAAAACCAUAGGUUAGCACUUUAUGCAUUUGCAAAUUGCAUCAAAUCAAGCCCUUGAAAAGUACAUUCCGUGGGGACAGAGUGCCUUUGUCACCAGUUUACCACGUAACCCCAGGGCACUGCCAAGUGCCUGUAGUGCAACAUUUGGAAUGCAUCAGCAGCCCAAAACAUGACAAAUGAUUUUGUAAAAGCCAUGCUGCAAGUAAAAUGGGAUUUUAAAAAUGCAUUUGAACAUGUUUUUCUUUGGUUGGAUCAGCCAUAUGUAAGCUUCACCUAUGGCAACAGUUUUCAUCGGAAGCUUAUUAUAGCUUAAUAAAAGGCUGUGUGGGUGGUACCGGAGCCUCGUGCAGAGCUGCAAGAACAUCGGGACUCUGGCUUUUGUCUUCUUGCUUUGCUGAUGUGAAAUGGGUUCAGUUUUACCUGGAUCAGGCCGAUUUACCAUCACUGCAGGACACAAGCUAGGUUUCGAAGCUGCCCAAGCAGAAGGUGUUGUUUAGAGAGGACCUGGGAGGGGACCUGUGAGAGUGAGUGUGAGAGCUGGUGAUGAGGAUGGUGCCCAUUGCCCACUAUUGCUGAGAGCUGAGUGAAAUGCCAGGUGUAAAAUUCUUUGCAUGGCCCUUGCCCUGGAGCUGACUCCAUCCAUGGUUGACAUUAUUGUGACUGUUGCUUUCCCCCGCUUCCAGGGCCUGUGCAGUGUUUGAUUCUGGGUACGCAUGUCACAGUUUGCUGUCUGGCCUGUUUAACUGCCGUUCCUCAGGACACACUGGCCUUUCCUCUGGAGCACAAAGCUUCUUCUGGCCUUGGUGUUGUCUCAUCUGUUAGUUGACCCUGCUGCCAGCCUCAGUCCUGGCUCUACCUGUGGCAGCUUGCUGUGGACCUUCAGGUAUCCCUGGUAUCUCUCCCCAGCCUCCAGGCUGGGGUGUCUGUCUUACUGUGUUUCUUUCACUGCAUGUUUCCACACCUGAAAUCGUCUUGUUCACUUCCCUGUUUCCUCCUGUUGUCCAUUUUCCCCCUGGACUGCAAACACCUUGAAGGCAGGGCUUCUUCUGUCUUAUUCGAGGUCUUGUGGCUUCACUUGGCUCUGUGUCGAGCACAUAAAGGGCAACUAACUGUUCAGUAUCUGCUCAAGGUCAAUGUGCAGUUGAGACUCCAAACACAGAGUUUCCUAGGGAGGGAUGGGAUGCGACACUUUGGAAUAAGUGUUAGACUGGGAUGGCUGCAUAUUAGGAAAGCCUGCGAUCUGACCUGUCAUUGCUCUUUCUCCCCACUGUCCCUUUGCUCCAACCUGCACCACUAGGAAGAAGACAGAGAGUAACAUACAGGUGUUUGGAACAGGCUGAAAGGACACCAGAGUCAUUUGAGUGGGAAGGUGUCCUUUGAGGUGUGCUUCACAUCAUAAGCUGGCUGUCAUCUUUCUACUCACUCCAAGGUAUUAGAGACGGAGAUGAACUAAUAUUUAUACAGGUUGUGAGCUGUGUAUUAUAAUAAAUAUCAUGGAGGGAAGUAAAACUAUAGUUUCUGUAAAAAAGAAUUAUUAGAGGAGGCCUACUUUAGAUCAGAUGAUUAAAAUAAAUGUAUGGUCUAUAGUUUGUCAUGAAGAGUAGACAUUUUGAUAUCCCUUCCACCAGAUUGCUCCUCCUCUUGAAGCACCUGGAUAAUUUGUCUCUUUUGCCUUCCACUGGUGAUGUUUGCAUCUGUCGUGGGACGCAUCUGUCUGGGAAGCGCCCUUGCCUUGCCACCCUCCUGCUGACAAGAGUGCGUGGUGUGUGCCACAGCAGAGCCUGGCAUCUGUCCAUGAGCACAGGGACAUUCUGUGGGGGUGAGCCAGGACUGCAGUGGGGUGACUAUGGGUGACACAAUCAGCUGUGUAUUUCAACGUAGCUAAUAGAGGAUUUUGAAUGUUUCCAAAACAAAGAAAUGAUAAAUAUUUAGGGUGAUGAACACGCUACCUACCCUGAUGUGAUCAUACACGUUUCAUACGUGUACUGAAGUGUCACGCUGCACCCCAUAAAUAUGUACAAUUAUUGUAUCUCAAUUACAAAUAAAAAUAAUUUUAGCAUUCACAUAGAUGAGCAAUCUUUUGGACAUGCUAAAAAUCUAAAAGCUCCAUUAUGAUGACCAACAACAAAGUAAACAUCUAUGUGUGUACUGAAAGUAUGUAAGUUUUAUGAUACAUAAAUAAAAAAAUUUUAAAGGAUGAUCUUCAUAGUCCAAAGAAGAUGAAAAAUUACUGAAUUUUAUAUGUUAGCUUCAAGUGUGGAAUGCAUCAGUCUGUUCAGGUUUGGUGUCUGGUUGCUUAGCUAUCAAAGGCUUGUCUGGACGUGGCUGUGAGUGGCUCACUUAGGAAAAAGGAUGGAGGGUUCCUCAAGGGGGAAGAUACUCUGCUGCAGGCUGCCCCAGCUUCCAGUCUGCCGGCUCCCUGCAGAGCUCAGGCCCAACACUGCGAUGUCGGUCUCUACGUACGUUCUCCGCUUGCCAGCCUGCCCUAUCGAAGCCAGACUUGCCAGCCCCGACAAUCGUCAGAGCCAGUUCCUGAAAUAAAUUUUUCUCUGCUCUUGGUUCUGUUUCUGUGGAGAACCCUGACUGAUAUGCAGAGGGAAACGAAAUAUUUCAAUGGCUUUGAUUUGGUAAACCUUGAAAUCAUAGAGUAUGUUCUGACCUAUUUACAGGUAUCAUGUGGCUUGUGCAUGUCAGGGGGCUCAUGUUCCACCUGCUCAUUUUGGGGAAUAUUGGGGAUCAUGCUCGGGGAUGGCUCCUGGCUCUGUGUUCCUGUUUCAGCUUUGCACUGCAGAAAGCAAGGGUUCCUUCCUUUCAGUGUUUGCUGUGGUAUUCAGGAUGCUGGGGAGGGAGUCCAGGCUGACGUUUCUAGGUAGAAUUCUCAUCAGAGUGGGCACCUCUCACACCAAAUAGACUUGGACUUUGUUCUGCCUUGAACCUGAAUGAGGAGUCUUUUCUGAAUAACUGCUAUGUGCCAGAGCCUAUAUUGUGCCCAGCAUUCCUACUGUGUUGGGCUUUGGGGACCUGCUGGACAGUACUCUUAGCGUGCUUAUAGUUUUGCUAAGGGAAGGAACGAAGGAGGAGAGCCUAUCUUCGUUGUGAAAAUAGACAGCAGGAGUUUUACAAUGGAAUUAUAAACAAAGAAGCAAACAGCCUUCAGCCAGCUAUCUGGUCAACCUUGAAAGGACCCUGUGACUUCAGGGCCUGGGAGUGAUGGGUGGAGACACACCAGGGUUCACGUGCUGGUGUGCAUUGCUUGAUGGCUCUGGGACUCCCUGCAGUAGGUUACAGAAUGGUUUGCAGAGAAAAUAAUUUAGAGUUCCUGACCUUUUGCAAGUCUUUAUUUUCCUAGAAUUCCUGUUCCCUCAUCUCUAGCCUCCAUUUCCUCACAGACUGGGGCAAGGCCUUACCAGAUGAAAUGCUGCUGGUAAAAGGUUAUGUGCUGAGUGCAAAGAGCCAUGUUUUAUUUGCCAAGAAAUGCAUCCCGAUCUUCAUGAAAUAAUGUUCUGAGGCAAAUGCAGCAAAGCCGGGCCAGUGCCACUGUGCUUGCCCAUUUCUGAGCAUCUGGAGACAGCGUGUUUAAGACAGGUGGUGUCAUCAAAGACACGCACUUGGCAGCUGGAGUACAUUCCAAAACAAUGUGCAUCCUUCCUUACUCUUCUGGAAUAUUACAAAGAGGGCUGCUUGGAAGUACUUCAUUAAAUAUGUCUUUGUUUUUGAUACAGGGUCUCACUACGUAGUUCAGGAUGGUUUUGAAUUCACUAUGUAGCCCAGACUGGCCUCAAAAUGGAGACAGUUUGCCUGUCUCAGCCUCCCAAGUGCUUUUAAAUACCUAUUUCCCCCACCUGCUCAUUUCCAUCACACCCUGUUCAUUUCCAUUAUAGUUCUUUCAAACUGCCCUCAACUCCUCAGAAAACAUUUCAGCCUAGACCAUUUCCCCAAAUCUCUAGAUUCUCCUCUGCUGGCUCCAAUUCCCCUUAUUUUGACUUCUCUGAGGCUGAUACCCAGAGGGGAGUGCAGGUCCUCUGGAGUCUUGGGUUUCUGAGACACUUCAGGGUGUGUAGUGGAGCUGGACAGAGCCAGGACUCACCCCCAUAAGGUAAGGAAGGACAGAAGUGUUGAUUCAAUACCGUAUUUGUCUUGUCAUGUGAUUGGCCACUUAUUCCUACUGUAGAGAAGAUUUGUGCUUCCCCUCCUGUGAAACUUUGAAUCUUUAGCUCUGCUGAAAUAAACAGACGGUAGACAAAUUAACAGGAGAAGAGCUUAGCUUUACUAAUAGGCAGGUGAAAUAAUGAAAUAAUGGAAACCUUAAGAAAGUUGAAACUCAGAGAAGACCUGAAUUGUGAAAGCUUAAAUUCCCUCCUCACAGCAGGAAGGGAAGUGCAGAAGGGAUAGCUGUAGGCAAUUCACAGGAUGACAAAUGAUUUUUGUUCUUGUAAUGGGAAUCGAACUUAGGACAUUGCGCUUGCCAGGUAGGUGCUGUGCCAGUGAGCUAGUCCCUGGCCCAGAAAAUGAAUUUUUAAGAGCAUUUACAUGGAUCUGGGCACCAGACAGUGGCCUGGGACAGAUUCCCUGGGCUGUAGAUGCGGUGUUUGAUUUUCAGUCUUUCCUUCUGUGAUAGGAGUUUAACAUGCUUGGGUUAAGGACCUGGCAGUAUGAAGGUGAGAUGGCAGUUGGGUCUCUUUCUUUAGGUCUAGUUUUUAGGGAGGUGCUGUGGCUGUGUCUAGAUGUCCCCCAAAGCUUCACUGGGUCUUAGGUGUGCCUUUUUCAGUCCGGAUCUAAGUUGAUUCAUGUAUGAUUGACUAAUGAUGCAAUGCUGGGAUUAAGGGUGGGUGGUCGAUAAAUCAGUCCACUGAUUGGUUUGGCACCAUCCUAAUUCCAGUAACCUAGAUACGGUAUGAAAUGGGCAGAAAGAUGCUGUGAAGGCCCCUUCCUCGCUUCUUUUGCUGUCCUCACCUGCCAUGAACUAUUUUUUCUUUGUGAUCCCUGCCUUCCAUACACCCUGCCUCAGACCCAGCUAACAGUGGACUGAAACCUCUAUAAACAGUGAGCUAAAUAAACCUUUCCACCUUUAACUUCAGGUGUCGGGUGUAUGGUCUCAGCCAUGAGAACAGUAAUAAAGAAGUAGACAAGGGAACUUUCAGGGAAGCCUUUGCUGCACUUUGGGGGAGAGUAGAGACCAUUCUCUUUCCCUAGUCCUGCACAGGUCAAAGUGCUGCACCAAGUCAUUUCUGAGCUCCAGCGCAGCAGAGCAGCCUACGGGGAUAUGGGAACCCACAGUAAGGGCCUCCAGCCCCACGUGGAGAGGUCCAAUGGGGCGUUGGAGUUGGGACUUGGAGGUUGAGGACCAGAGCAUCAGUGUGGUAGCACACUGGGAAUUAGGGAUGGAGAAACAGUCCUGGGUGUCUGGAACAUCGGAGACUUGUGGGGAGGAGACAGAAUACCACCGGAUGGGUGAUCUUGAGCUCUAUGUGGCAUAAGCUAGCUCGACCCAGCAACUCUCCUUUUCUUUACUGCAGAUGCCUCCUCGGGGCUGCUAGGUGCUUUGCUACAUGGUCAGGAAUGUGGGUCACACUUCUCCCCAACCGGAAAAGCCUCAGCUUUAUGUUGGCAGGGUCUUCUGUUUGUGGAAAGAUGGGAAACCACCUAGAAGGCCAGUGCUCCUCCUCCAGACCUGCCAGCAGACGGGAAGCCCAACAUGCUGCUUUGAUUUAGGCUUCAGCCAGCAAGGCCUGUGCGCUUCACCUACGAAGGAGGAGUGUGUUAAUUCAGGACAGAUGGCGCUUGAGGCCCGCUGCCUGUGAAGACUGGUGGUUCUGGGCUCCAGGGUCAGGCAGGAGGGCCUCAUGCUGCAUUUGUCUCCUGUCCUUACAGUUCUUCCUCUCAUCUGUGGCACUUCCGCGUCUUUGUCUGUGAUGACUUUGACACGUCUGAAGAGGCUGCUCAGUGAUUGUGGGACCUGGUUUUGUGACUGGGUUUGCAGAGUUGAGCUGCACCCUUCCUUUCUGAGGGGAAGGCCACAGGAGCAGCCCUCCAGCCUUUUUGGGUCAGCAUACGCGGAGCCAUGUAGUGUGGACAGACUUUGCCAUUGGUGACGCCCAUUUCAAUCACUGGUUUCAAAUUUGCUUUACAGAGGGGCCUCCGGUAUAGAAGUACUCUUCUGCUUUGUACUUAAAAUGUGUGGCUCCUGGGGAAGCAUCGUGCUGUUUUCCUCAUGAUUCCUCAUUAUUAAUUAAUAAUAAACUAAAAUUUUAUAUUUUAUGUUUUAUAACUCAGCUGUGGUGUUAUGUGUGCUCAUAUGUCAAAUAUAUAUUUUCUAUUUGCUCUUACUGUUUCUCCUUAUAUUGUGUUCAUCUCUUUUACCCAUUUACCAUAAUAAUUCAUGAGCAAUUUAAUAAACAGUUUUAAAUUCAUAAAAAUCAUUUUGCCAGAAGCAUGUCAUUGACUGUGGGAUUGACAGGAAGAGAUAAAUGAGCAGGGCUCCAGCGUUGCUUUGCAGAGCCUCUGGAGUCAGCCGGACCUCACCUGCCUCACUCGAGACAGUGCUGUACCCUAAGUACUUCCUCACCACUUUGAACUCCUGGGUAAUCACCUGCAUGCUGCAGUGGCUGUGGUGAUUGCUCUUCGCAUAAUAGAUGGCACAUCAACCAAUGUUCUCAUGCCCGAUGUGUCCCUAACUUGACAGCACUCCAGAGUCACCUGGGCAGCUGAAAAAGUUCCUGGUGAUUGGGUCUCACCUUCAGGGAUUGAGAGAUAACGGGUGUGGAGACUGCCCCAAAGGUCUAGGGAGACUUUUAAAAGGUUUCCAUAUUCUAUUGCAUAGCCAAAGUUGGGGAUCUCACGGCUGGAAACUAGUCUGUGGCCUGAGUUGUAAAUGUUUUUUAUUUUGUACAUAAAAAUCUAUGUAUUUAUUAUGUACUGUUAACCAGAGAACUUUUGUUUGGUGUCUUCUAAACUUAAGCAAAUAUUCGCAUUCAGAGAUACACCACAUACGUAGACAGCCAAAGAUUGCUUUACAGGGUAAAUGACCCUAACUUGAAAAUCCAAAACCCAGUAUACACCAAAAUCCAAAACUUGUAAAGCACUGAUAGGAUACCACCAGGUGACAAUUCUAUACCAUGAACUUUAUUUCAUGCCCAUGAUUACUAAAAAUGUAUGAAAUUACCUUCAGGCUCUAUGCCUCAAGUGCAGGUGAAACCUAAAUGAAGGCCAGCCUGGGUCCCAUCCCUAGGAUAUCCUGUUACAUAGACAGAUCUUCUGGUGUCCCCCAAAUAGUCUGAAAUCAUACUUCUGGUCCCCAGCAUUUUGAAGAAGAGAUAUUCAACUUGUAUUACUCCUUUUUGCUUAUGAGGAUGGGGCAAUUUUUUAAAAUUUCCUAGUGCCUUUUCUUCUUUCAUCUAUGAAAUAGAUAUGUUAGUAUCUGCUUUCUGUCACUAUGCAAGCUUAAAAAUUAAACUUCGUACUCUUUGUGUAUCUCAUGAAAUCAUUUUGGAGAAUGAUUGGGCGAUACCAUAGCGAGCUAGAUUUGAGUCUCCUGCCCCCUGCGAAGAUCUUCAGGCUCUUUGACAGAGUUCUGAUUUGGGCUAAUGAGCACUGAGGGUUGGUUUUGAGAAGUCCUGGAGCCACCUUGGUGAUGGCUCUCCAUGGCCAGUAUUAAUGAAAGACCUGAAAAGAUAGAAAGCUCUUCCUCUCCCUGGGCGCAGAUGGCUUUUGCUGUAGCUAAUGUAAUAUGCUGUUGGUUUUUUUUUUUUUUUUUUUUAACUAGCUGUUGUGUUUGAUUUUUCCUCUUAUUUUAUUUAACAUCUGUUUUGGACUUUGCUUCACACACACACCUGAUACCAUGGUUGAAUCACUUGUGUGACAGCCUAGGGCUUUGCUCACAAAUGCCAUAUCCCCAAAUGAAAAUUAGAAUGAAGUUAAGUCACCGAGCAAGUGAGAGAUAAAGCCAGAACUAGAACUGAGUUGUUCUGCCAUUGUCCACAGUUCUUUUUAUGUUCUGAAAUUCUUCAUUUAUUACAAAUAAUAGCUGCUAUUUGCCAGACAUUUACUGUAUACCAGAUAGUGUUGUAUAGUUUAUAGGUGCUAUAAUUCUCACAGUUUAAUCCUCAGAGGUAUAUUGAGGUUGAAAUAAGUGUUCAUUUUAAAGAUGAGGGAACCAUAAUAGUAAUUUAGUAAAGACUUACCUUGUCCCCAGCACUGUUCAAAUAGUCUUGUUUGAAUUUGUUGCCCAUUAGCUUAUUUGUUUAGAAGGGAAGUGUCAUAGUGUCAUACACUAUGCCUAGUGUCAUACAACCUGUGAACUCAGAGCUGAGCAUUAAAUCCAAGCUAGUUUGAUGUCAAGGCUUGAUUUACCUGAGCAUUGCAUUGGGUUAUUUUGCCAGAAGCUGAUGUUUGGUCAGCUCCAUGACACUUAGAUGCAGAAAUCAGGACAGGAUUUCAUCUCACACCAGGCUUGGUGAGCCAAAUUCCACAGCACAGGACACAGAGGGACUGCAGAGGCCCUGGCAACUGGUGGCUCUGAUUUGGUGUGUCUCUGUAUCCCUGUGAUGCAGUGACUACAAAGGAGGGGGAGCCCUGUGUUCUGUGAGGUUAGAUUUGUGAGUAGAGAACAGUCUUCUGUUAAUAUGUGUGCUGAGGUACACAAAGGCUUCUAUUGGUUUUACACUAGAGUGUGUCCAGUGAAAUUAGUGUGGGUCCGGUUGCCCUUGCACUUCUUCAGGAACUGACGGCUCUGCAGAAAGCCAGUUAGGUGCCUUCUUGCUCAUCAUUUGCAGGAAUGCUGUUAUUUCUGAGGGUGCUGCAGGGAGGGUUUUGUAAAUGCUGUCCCAGGUCUCUAGUUUAAUCUGGUAUGUUCAGUGCUGGAGUCUUUACUCAUUUGCCUUUAGAAUACCCACAUUUCUGCAGCCUUGCAAAGCCCCAGUUCUUCCUCUGUGCCAUCCUAAGAAAUCCUUCUACAGAACAAGUGCCUGCCUCUGUUACAGAUAGUCCUGCUUGAGUCAAUCUCUUCUGGCCACUGAACUGCCACAAACUGAGCUUCUGUCUAUUGCGAUUUGGAUCUGAAGUAUCUCGGUGCCCAAGGCAGCAGCACUCACAGAUAACACUUCCCCCUGCCUCACCAAGGCUUUCUGAGCAUUCUGGUGGGGGCCUGGCGGGCAGCAUCAGGCAGCACCAGGUUCUGUGUGUCCUGGGAAGUGAUGAGAAAGGUGGUGGGUUCUAGUCAGGCAUCAACAGAUUUCUGCUCUUUUUUCUUAUAGAAAUCUGUGGUUGAGGCCGUGCUCAGUAGAGCCCCUGUAUGAGGAUUCACAUCCUCUGAGCUUGUGCAGCAUCCUACUCUGGCCAGCAUCUGCAGACUCUGGGUUUGGAGGGAGGAGAAGUUUAACACACACACGAUGAGCAGUAAUUGAGCUCUCACUGAGGAACAAAUCUGACAUUUGCGCACAUACAUCAGGGUGAGAUCAGCACUGAGAAGAUGAAGUUAAAAAAAAAAUUAAAGGGCAGGGCAGAGCUGUGCUCUUUUUUUAUAACUGGUGAUCAUUUGCUUUUCCAGUGCCUUCCAGAGAGGCCGAGAGGCCGAGAGCAGGAACAGAAAGUCGCGAGACACAGAGCCCAUGUGGCAAGUAGGGAUUAUUGCAGAUCAGCCCACAGGUGACAUGUGCUGUUCAAAUUAAAACCAAGAUGGGAUGCCAUUUGGCCUAUUAAACCGGCAAAAGGUUUUGGAGAGAGGAAGGGCUCUGUUUAUUCUGAGUUGCCAGUGAUCGUAACACUCAGGCUCUGAGGUGUGGGGCAGUAUACACUUCCAUAUGCCGUGCUUUCGAAUGCACAGUUCUGGUUCAGAACUUCUGCUAAGACAUUAGCAAGAGGGUAUACAAUGUGUAUGCCUCUGGCUGCAGUAAUAUCGGUUUGAGGAACACUUGUUAAGGAAAUAAUCUAAACAAAGAAAGAAAAGGCUGUAUCACUCAGCCAUUUAUAACAAUAUUUUUUCAUUACUGCAAAUUGGGAACAAUAUAGCUAUCUAGCAAUAAAAUUCUGAAACAUUCUAGCAAUAGGUGAUUGGAAUAUUAAUGUACUGAAAUAACAUAGCCCCUAAGAGUGACGCAGAGAUCUUUAUGACAUGAGGAAAGCUCUUGCUUUAUUGAAAAUGAAUGCUUCCAUUUAGUUCUGUAUAUUAAAAAAUAAUGUGGAAAGAAACCAGAAAGAAAUAUAGCAAAACAUUAGUGAUGCUUGCGUCUGAGUAGUGGAAUUUUCUCUCCCUCCCUCUUUUAUUUUAAUUUUCUCUGUAUGCUUGGCUUGUUUAAUUCUGCUCUGUUCAGAAAUUUCCCAACCAAUUAAUACUCAUUAGAUGCCAAUUAUAUAUCAGCUCUGGUUUGUUAUAGCUCUGUAUUUCUUAGAAGUACUUUUGUUUCUAUUUGUUCAUAAAUGGAUUCCAGUAGCGAGAGCUGUCACAGUUGAUGAGGACUUAUGUAUCCCCCGUGCUUUCUCCACAGCGAAUGUGCUGUCUGUCUCUGUGAGUUCUCCAUCACUCUGUUUCUGCCCUUACUUCAUAGUCUCAUGAACACUACUGACCCAUGCUGCCUGGAACGUGGCUUUCAGGAAUGGUGCUAGCUUUGCCAUGAAAAUGCCAAAGAAGUCUCUAUCCAGUGGCUGUUAGCCAUGCAAACAUGAAGGAGAAUGCCCUUAGGAAAGUGGUCAGCGAAAAAGCAUUAAAAUCAGCAGGCAGUAAGAAUGAGGGCCUCUGACAUUAGGAGGCAUCGUAAACAUCACCAUACCUGGAUCAGUCAGCCAGCAAUUGUGAAGAGGAGUGGGCACUGAGUGCCAGGAAAUGUGGGUGGGGAAGUGACACGAUUUCAGAAGACAGGAUACUCAUAGUGGUGUUGCCAGCGUACUGAUGCAGACCUUUGUCUCCAUAAAUCCUAGGCUGCACCGGCCUGGUGUGAUUGGUUUAGUCAGCCCUUUUAUUUCCAGGAUUGCAUGGUCUCCAACAUGGCUCACACACUUACACAAACUCAAGUGCAUGUGCGUGCACACCAAUGUGCUAAAAUUGGCUGUUUCCAUGACUUUACUAUUGGAGGUGCAUUUACUUUUAAAAUGAUGGAGGGAAGGAAGGAUGGAAGGGAAGAAGGAAUGAAGGAAGGAUGGAAGGAAGAGGUCAGAAGGGAAGAGAAAAGGAAAAAAGUGCUUUUCCAAGGAAGAGCUCCAAGUCGUAGAAGCUCCUUCCUCUCUUGCUCCCUGCCCAUCUUGCCAGGUGUUCUUAGUUAAGGGCACCCUGCAGCAGAGGUGAGAAUGUGAUGGCCACAAAGAAGAUGAGAAAGUAUCAGACCCGAUCCACUGUAGGCUCUGGCCUGUUGUAACACACAGGAAGUAUGUGCCAGAGGCACAAGCAGACCCUGAAGAUGGCACAAAAAAGCCAAGUGAAAUUGGUCAUUCUUGCCUGCAGCUGUCCAGCUUUGAAGAAAUCCGACAUAGAGUGUUAUGUUGUGUUGGCCUAAAUGUGUCAAUCACUACAGAGGCGACAAUAAGGGGUUAGUCACAGCACGAGAGAAAGACUGCAGAGCACACACUCUGGCCAUCACUGAUAGCACUGGAAGCAUGCCAAGACAGGCUGGGGAAAAGGAAGCAGUGCAAAAGUUUUCUCAAACAUAACUUGCAAGAACUUGCUAGAGAAGAGUUUUUCCAGUGAGAGCUGUAUGUUAGCUGGACCUCAGGUGGUUGUGUCAGACCUGCUGGGCAAGUGUCAUUCUGAUACCAGGCUAAGUGAAUUCAUGAUUUUAGUGCUGUGGAUGCCGUCUGGGUGGGGCCUGGUAGGAUAGAAGGUAAAUCUCUGGGUCACACAUGACUGGUCACCUGGGCUGUGGGCUUUGCUCUAAUUGUAGAUAACACUCAGUUGUUUGGGGCUCACUUUCCUCACUCGUAAUGUUAGGAGUUAGGGAAGUAUGAGCCAUCUACAGAUCUCCUGAACUUUCCAAGGCCAGGAGCUAUUAUGGGUGGGAUACAGCAUUUCUCCAAAAGAGCUCGUUGUUUUGAAGACUCGGUUAUUGAUGGGCUUUAAAAAAACGAUCAGAUCAUUAUCCAUGGAUCGAUGCAGUAAUGAGAUCACAAUUUGUUGGCAUUGUGAUGAAAAUGAAAGGUGGGAGCCUAUUGGUCCGGCAUGACCUUGGGGACUGUAUUUUGCCCAGUGUCCUUUUCUCUGACUCCUGAUUGCCACAAAGUAAGCCAUUUUCAUCCACCACACCCUCCUGCACAAUGUUUCAGCCUCUCCACAGCCCUAAAAACAGUGCAGCAGUUUCAACUGAACUAGGAGCCAAAGAAUCUUCCCUUCUUUAAAUUGUGUUUUCUCUGCUAUUUGGUCCCCACUAUGCAAACAAACUGACACAGUAGCCCAGCCUUAUCAUGCUGGUGUCCCUUGGCUAGCAUGCUUCUGCCACAGAAGUAUGAGGUGAGAUGUCCACAGCCUGGGACUGGUUCCCUGAACAAGAGCAGUCACCUUGCAGGAGUCCUCUUCAAGUGUAAGAGGGUUUGAGCCUCACACAUAUUCGAGGUCAAAAUACAAGUAUUUAUUAGACUGACUGUUAGGUAUCAAGUACUAUUCCUGGACUUGAUUAAUCCAUGCACACGAGCUGUAGCUGUAACGCUGUCCUUAUCUUAAGGAGUUCCAGAGAGAUGUGGAAGUUGUGGAAGGUCGCAGAGCCGAGUGUAUGGUCUUGAUUCAGCUGGCCCUAAGAAGCAUUCAUUACCAUCCAGGUCCUUUCUUGUUUUUUCCAUGUCCUUGCUAAUCUACUUUACUGCCACAAUCAAGGGAACUCACAAAACACCCCAAGCUUCUGUUAACUCAGAUCGAUAAUGACAGAAUAGUAGCUUGAGGUAAUGAUAUCCGUGCCGCUGUGUAUGCUGGCGCCAUGGAGAUUUUUCUGCAGAAUGGAGUCACUGCUAAUGUGAACAAGUUGGGGGUUUCGUGUUGGUCCCCAGUACAGCACAGCAGGUUGGGCUCACUGCCUGCUGCCCCUGCCACACGGCACCUGCUGGGCAGCUUGCUGUCUACCCUGUUUAACUUGCCUCCCGAGAACCAUAAGUCUUUUGGAUAAUGCGGAAAUGGGCCAGUCAGUUCCUGACUGCUUAUAAUGCAACUGUCAAGAACACAGAAUUGAAAGCACUACAGAUGCUCCCCGCUUUGAAAGUAACUGAGUACUGUGUCUGAAAUUAAAAUGUGUCAAACAUCCUCAGGUACACACUGUGCAAAAGGGUUCUCAUAUGUACAAAAGGCUUAACCAAAAAGUCCCUCAAAUGAUGCGCUCAUUUACAUUGUGAUUUUUUUUUUUAUAAACUUGAUGGAAAUGUAGCUGACACACCCAGGGUGACCCUGCUGUGUUCCAAGGCCCCUGGUCAAGGAUGAUGGCAGUGUUGUAGUGGCAGCAGUGUGCUUAGAUGCUAGCACUGUUUAAUAGUUUUGGAGUCUGAGAAGCUUGGGUUCAAACCCUGGUCCUUGUAAGUGCUAGCUAGACAUGUUUGGGGCUAUUUGCACAACUUCUUUGGGCCUCAAUUUCUUUUUCUGUAAAAUGACAUUGUCUGAGAAUAAAAUCUUGUGUGUGUAUACCAUAUGUAUUUUUAUAUUAUCAUCUGUGUCACUUAAACAUGGUAUUUGGCACAUUAAAAUCACUUGCAUUUAGUAUAACAACAAGUUUUAUCUGCGUGGUAAUCGCCAAGAAAUGCUCUUGAAACUUCCUCUCAUUGAUGACUUGAUCACUUUUAUAUUUCUUGAGCAGCUCAUGAUAUCCAAGAGGCCAGUGCCCUAAGAUAGGUGGCAUUUUCUCCUGGAAGUAGCUGCCUAAGUUUGAAAGAAAGGAAUUACUCUGAGCCAUUGCCUGGUAACAGUGACUGUGAUGGUACCCGGAAUUCAUGCCUGCCUGAGUGUGUGGUGUGGAUCUGUGCAGAGCUUGGGCUCAGGUGCCUCCAGAGACAAAGAUGAUCCCUCCUGAUGUGAGCCCGCUGCCCUCCCAGCUCUCAGCACGGGCUCCCAUAGCCCACGCAGGAAAGGUGGGUGCUGAGUGCUGUUACUUGCAAGGGAGGCUCAGUGGGGAAUCUCCUUUCUCUCCUGCCUUGCACUCCUUACCCUCUGUUACCAUCACCCCAGACCUUUCUUCCCCUGCACCGACAGUAGAAGUAGACAGAGCUGCUUCUUUCCCUGCCUUUUGUGGGAGACCUGAUGACCCCACUUGGCGUUGCCCAGGGGUAUGCCCUGCUCUCUCCUGUGUUCCUUAUCUGCAUCUUUUGAUUUUGAGUUUGGGGGCACACAGGGUAGAGUGCAUUGUUGGCCUUCCUGUUAGCAUCCAGGGUGCUGGGCCACGAGAGCCCUUCCCUUCUCCUCCCUUUCUCCCCAGCUUGUAGGAUGCAGCUGUGGUGACAAGACAAGCCAUCUCUGAUCUGUGGGUUGAGGUGACACUAUACAGAGUGACGUGCUCUGGAAAGGUGAGUUGGUUCCUGGAGACCAGGCAGUCUCUACCUUGCCCCAUCUUGCAGACCAUAGCAAGCAGAAACACUCCCUUUCAAAGCCACUAUACCUUUGGUUCCUGGAUAACUGAUGAUCUAGGAUUGUGUACACACACACACACACACACAUACAUGCAUGCACUUACACAUAUGCACACAUGCACACAUGCACUGUCAUUUCCUUUUGACUAAAGAUUCUAGCUGAAUCGCUGACUUACACAAUCAAAAGUUGCUUUUGACCCCUUCUGUGAGCAUCUGGGAACACUGUAUAUGGCUUGAUUACUAAUGCACCAUAAAAGACUGCAAACAUGUACAAGAAUAAAAGAAAGGGAUCAUGAAAUGGAUGGAGAGGAAAAGGGAUGGAAAGGGGAGGAAAGAGGAAUGAUGUGGGCAUGUACCACCUUCCCCACGGGAAUGUAAGCAUUAUGUUCUACACACAUGUACUAAUGAAAAAGGAGAGAGGCAGGAUUUGGAGUUAGAGAAAUGCAGAUUUGAGUUCUGGCCCUGCAGCUUAUUAGCUGUGUGACCUUGAGGAAAUUAAUGAACUUCAGGAAGCUUGGUUUCCUCAUCUGUAAAAUGGAAUGGUAAUGCUUGUGUCAUGGUUUAUGUCAGUGGCCCCCAAGGCUCAUGCAAUUAUAGAUUCAACCAAGUCUAGCAUUUGUGAUUGGUUCAUUGUCUAGUUCUCAGAUUGGUGGUGUGAGUGCUAUAUCUGCCUAGGGGUGGAGCCAGCAUAUGAUGUAAAGACAGGAAGAAGGUGAGUCUGGCUCUUUUGCUUUCAUUUUUGCUGUUUUCAGUGGCCCUGAAGGGCUGCCCUGCCAUGCCAGGCUGCCUUGGAGCCAAAUGAAUAUGGACUGAAACCUCUAAGAACUGUGCUGGCCCCAAUUGCUGGCUGAUUUUUAAGGUUCUUCUUACUCUUUGACUAUCAGCACAUUGAGACAUAGAAAUGCCGUUGGCUUUGGCCAAUUUGCCCAGUAGUUCAAGGAUAAAGCAACUUAAAGUCUAUAAAGAAAGUUGCAUUUAGAAAAAAGCAGAUAUAUCAGUGAUUUUGAUCAGCAAUCAAAGCUACUCCUCUGAGGACCGAACCUCAUUCACUGCCUGCUAUUGUUGAAUCUGGAAGCUAAAAAUAGAUUUAAAUUUAAAGUGUAAUGUUUUGUGACUUGUAAAAAUUAUGUGAAAUUCAGGCUACAGUGUCCUUAAAUGUUCAUUCAAACACAAUCAUAUCUCUGUUCCUAUUUUGUCUUUGCUUCUUUCUUGCUGCAGAGAAAGGGCUGAAUAGUUGGCUACAGAAAUCCUGGGGCCUAAGAAUUGAAAGUACCUUCUACCUGGAGCUUGGGAAAUGAAAACUAGGGUUUGACAUAGGAACACCACCAAAUUAACUUAUUUCCUUCGCCAGCUGCUUUUACUUCUUAGGCUUAAUUUCCUGAUGUGUCAUGUCCUAGGAUUUUAAGGACCUGAAGGAACUGUAUGUUGAACUAUGUAUGUGUAUAUGCAGUAUAUUGGAAAGGAUGCAAGUUUGUGAUAUGUUGCUUAUUGAGAAACCUCAUCUCUCACAGAACAUAACUUUUUGAGACAAUUUUUGGCUUUAAUAUCUUCUUGGAAAAAAUACUAAAUGCAUUUAUAUAUACAUAUGUAUAUUACACAUACUAUAUCAGUAAAUAUAUUGUAGAACUAUGGGCAAUAAAGUCUUAAAAGAGAAGUGACCUGGGUGGUGGAAUUGUAGAUGAUUUUCAUGUCAUAUAGACUUGUUCUUUUAGAUUAAGGAUUUUUAUUUCUAGUUUCAUGCAUCGAGCAUAUAAUUAGAGAAGGUAUUUGAAAGGAAAAAAAGAGUAGAAACGUAAUAUAAAGAUAGAAGGAGCAGAAAUAAAUCAGUUUGUGCCUUUUGAGCCCCAGUCCUGUGUGGUGAUGAGGAGGGAGAAGAUUCCCUGCCACGAUGUCCCUGUGUGUCUGGUUCUGAUGCUCUAUAGGCCGCCUAGAAGCCGUGCAUCGGGCUGGCAUCAGCUGUGUGCUGUGGAGAUUGUGCCCAGGACCUGUGGCUUCGCAGGUCCCAGAGCUUCCCCAAUGCUGUGUGGCCUGUGGUGAGCCAAGGGCAUAUCAGCUCCACCUUGUCCACUGUUUGUGGCCAGAUCUGCUUCUUAAGAGCAUCCAAUCUGGGACUCUUUACCAGGCCUGCAGGGCCCUGCAGCCUGUGGCUUUGGACAUCAGGCUUCUGUCCAUGGAAGCUGUGCAGGAGAGCUGCAAAGGUGUGAUAGCAGGGUGUAUGAAAGCUGACUCCCCUCCAGGGCAUGUGCCCAAUCUUGGGGAAGAGAGUCACGUUGCUUGGCCCAGGAUUUGUCACUCCAUGCCCGUAGCUCCUUACUCUGUGUGGAGCCACCCUUUGCAUGACAGGGCUGUUUUGAAGCCCUAAGAGGUGUGUGGCUUGCACACUCGUUCCUCUGUUCUCCAGAGCCCGAGCAGACCAGAUGCCCUGCAGAAGGCACCCCAGCAGUUGUCCUUGGAGAAGCACACUGUGUCCAGCUUCACACUAUACCACUGAGUGGACAGCCUAGGUGUAAAUGCAGCAGUCAGAAACCAACAAAAAGGAAAUCAAGGAGACUGUGUGUCAUUGAGCCCCAUUAGAGUAAAGCCAGUUUGCCACAGUGAAUCCUCAACUCACACUGUGCUGUUGUUCCCUAGGUGAAAGAUGGACCAGGCUGUAGCUCUUAGAGAUGGUUGGACACUCCAGGCAGUCAGGUGUGGCUGGGAGCCAGCUCUGGGCCACUCACAUUUGCUGAGUACCCUUGCACGUGGUCCCUGGUCUUGAAAAGCUUUGGUUUCCUCAUCAGUAAGAGGAAAAUGGAACAGUACUGGCUGGGUGGCAUUGGGACAAUAAAUGGUGAUAGCUCAGUAGAGCUUGUGGGGUGCAGCGAUGCUCAGGAGUUUAACUCAUACUUCCUUUGGCACAUUUAGCCCUCAAAACAAUAGCAGAGUGCCUGCUUGUGUUUGCUCUCCUUAGAAACUAGAAUGCCCAAGGUGAAUUUAGGAACAACACGUGUCUUCUUUUAAAAAUCUCUGUUUACUAGUGAAAUCUUCCUCAAAUCCAAAAAUCACUCUUUUUUCUCCUAUUUCAUCAAGGGAAUAGUAAUAAGAAUGAUAGCAACAAAUACUCAAAUUAGGCUUUGCACUAGUAAUUGUGUUCAUCUCACCCCACUCACCCUAUGGAAAUGGAUUACUGUCCCCAUUUUGUAUAUUAGGAAGCUGAAAUCCCUUGGGAAGUUUGAGUAACUUCCCAAAGGCUUUGCAGCUAAUCGGUGGUAGCAUUGGGAUUGAAACCCGGGCCAUCUGGUGCUAACCCCCUGGCAGUAGCCACUGUGUCAGUUUUCUAGGUAGCAAUCCUUCUGACAUAGUCACUAGCUUGCUGCUUAGGAACCAGCAUCGAUAGCUGAGCACAUUCAAAGCAAGGUUCCAGUCCGGCUGUGGCAGGAAAUGAGUCAUGCCUAUUCCUUGAAUGCUUACUUUC